GAGGAGGGCUGGGUGGAAAAUCUUCAGUUUACGUUUCUGUCUGUUCCGCCGCUGGUCCAACGGCCAGCAGCACCCACUUUUUCAAUGAAAGAGCAGUUUCCCUUUCCUCCGAGUUGCAAGGCUCGUGGGUUGACGAUGAGCUCGACUGCCUCCUCAUUCUCACCCACGACGCCCCCUUUCGCCAGUGGUCAAGAGGUAGCGGUUCAGAGACGCAAUGCCUCUCCACACGUCUCUGGCCAGUUCCUCCGGGAACACGGGGAGUGUGGCCGUGAUGACUCAGAAUGCGGUGCUUUCUGGGCCGUCCGACACAACUCCCCAUCGCUGCACCACUGCGGGUAUAUCGACUGUCCCUUUGGUGCCACUUGUACGGAGUUUGGGAGCGUGGCUUGCGCUGCCCAACCCGUCACGCUGGCUCAUUCAGACGGUCCGACUCGGUUACGUGAUUCAGUUCGCCCAGCGACCUCCCAAGUUCAAUGGCAUUCCUGAGACUUCGGUGGCAGUCUGGGACGCCUCUGUCUUGUGCGAGGAGAUUGCUGUCCUGCUGGCGAAGGAUGCAAUUGAGCCAGUCCCUCCAGCCAAGAUGAGGACAGGGUUUUACAGCCCUUACUUUAUCGUACCCAAGAACAGUUGUGGCCUUCAAUCUAUCCUGGAUCUGCGAGUCUUGAAUCGGGCCCUGCACAAGCUCCCGUUCAAGAUGUUUACGCAGAAAUGCAUUAUCAAAUGCAUUCAGUCCCAGGACUGGUUUGCAGCGAUUAACCUGAAAGACGCUUACUUUCAUGUCUUGAUCCUCCCUCGCCACAGACCGUUUCUGCGGUUUGCAUUCGAGGGUCAGGCAUGGCAGUACAAGGUCCUCCCCUUCGGGCUCUCCCUGUCCCCCCCGUGUCUUCACGAAGGUCAUGGAGGGCGCCCUUGCCCCACUUUGGGAAGUGGGCAUCAGGCUCAUAGUGGGUCCUCGAGAGGGGUUGUGCAAUCACAGGGACCUGGUGCUUCGGCACCUCAGUCAUUUGGGGCUUCAGGUCAACCGAGAGAAGAGCAAGCUCUCCCCUGUGCAGAGAAUCUCUUAUCUCGGUAUGGAGUUAGACUCUGUGAGUAUGAUGGCGUGUCUCACCAGUGAGCAUUCCCAGUCGGUGCUGAACUGCCUGAGUUCCUUCAGAGGCAGGACAGUGGUACCACUGAAACAUUUUCAGAGGCUCCUGGGGCAUAUGGCAUCC
ensembl:lncRNA